AAUACAAAAAGUUUAUGCUUGAGUGAAUGAGUCCAAUAAGUUUAUGCUUUGUGGGACAAAAUUGUUACUCCCAAACUUGUGACCAGUCAAUUCACACUCAUUAUUAGGAACCAACUUUCCUCAUCCUACAUGUAUUUUUGGAACUGUACUUCAGAUCCAUAUUUUUUUUGGGACGGUACAAAAUGUAUAUAUAUAGAGGACAUUUUAAAUAAGAGGACUUUUUAAAUGAGAUGGUGGGAGGGUGAAACUGUGAUCAUUGGAUUAGUUAGAUGGUUGUAAUUAAAAGAGAGGUUUAAUGAGUCACAUGACUCUCUUUUCAUCAAUUUCACCGCGCGUUGCUUUCUCUCACCUCACGCGAUUUCUGAAAAUUCUCCUUUCUUCAUCGUUUCAGCACCAUUCUUUCUUUAGUCAUUGUUCUACUCCAAAAACAGUCAUUUUGGCGAUAUCUCGACAACCACUUCUCAAUUUCGGUUAUUAACAGAAUCCUUUUCAGCAUUUUGGGUGUUGUUAUGCUUGGAACCUUGAUAUACACCUGAUGGUUCUCCUUUCCGUACAGCUAUUGACUCCGUAAGUGCUCAUAUAAGCAUGAACUGCGUGAAUGGAGCAUACAUUUUCUUCUUGUUAAAAGGAACAUUCCUCUCCCAUUAUAUACUUCUUUUAGUAGACAUAGAUUGUGGUGUGGACAAUAUUGAAUUUGAAAGUUGUGAUUUAUUAAGUGCUUUUCAUUCUUCAUUUUCCUAAUUAAAUUAUUCACCAAAGCAACACAUGUACUUUCUGUGUGUCAUUCAAGUAUACAUUUGCAACUUUGUCAUGCUCAUCUGAGUAAGUUUCAGCACUGCUUCUGCUUGUGGCAGUCCCUUUUUGUUAAUUUUAAAGAGAAAUUAACUAGCUAGUUGUAAUAUAUGUACUUGUUGUUGCCUAAUUUUAUUAAAAAAGUUUUAUAAUUAGAGAUAGAGGGAGUAAAAUGCUUGAUUUUUGUUAUACUGAUUCAAUGUCAUUCAAAAAAACUAUUAACUACUUUUUGAAUUUAUGUAGAUUUAGGUUCAAUUUUCAGUGGAUAAGAUGACGACCAUGUGAGAAAUGCUCAAGCAUGGAUGCUUCUCAAGGAAAUUUAUAUGCUAGAACAAACAGAGAAUAAGAACUUGAAGAAUAAGAAAAAAUAGAUUUUAUGUGUUGUUGUGUUUAACAGCAGUCCUGUGCAAAGUUGCAGUUUUUCUGUGAUGCCACUGCAGUUGCGGUUUGGUGUUGUGUUUGGGAGGCCCUCUAGCGUGUUUUGGAGUUGCUUCUGGCUGGCUUUUAUUGCUAUUUUGGUUUCUGUUAUGUUAAGGUAGCAGGUUUCCAGGGGUUUUUUUUGGUGAGUUUUGAUUUUGGUGGAGAGGCACCCUUUGUUUUAGGCCCUCCUUAAUUGUACUCUUUUUGCAACAUCAAAUGUAAUUUCUAUUUUGUGUAUUUGUGAUGUAAUUCACAUUUGUAUUGAUGUGAUUCACAUUUGCAUUGUAAAGCAAAUUAUAUACUAUAUGAAAUAAAAUUGGUAUUCAUUGUUGGUUAUACUUUGGA